rnacentral:rRNA from 1 species
GACGAACGCUGGCGGCGUGCUUAACACAUGCAAGUCGAACGGAAAGGCCCUGCUUUUGUGGGGUGCUCGAGUGGCGAACGGGUGAGUAACACGUGAGUAACCUGCCCCUGACUUUGGGAUAACUUCAGGAAACUGGGGCUAAUACCGGAUAGGAGCUCCUGCUGCAUGGUGGGGGUUGGAAAGUUUCGGCGGUUGGGGAUGGACUCGCGGCUUAUCGGCUUGUUGGGGGGGUAGUGGCUUACCAAGGCUUCGACGGGUAGCCGGCCUGAGAGGGUGAACAGCCACAUUGGGACUGCGAUACGGCCCAGACUCCUACGUGAGGCAGCAGUGGAGAAUAUUGCACAAUAAGCGGAAGCCUGAUACAGCAACGCCGCGUGCGGGAUGACGGCCUUCGGGUUGUAAACCGCUUUCGCCUGAAACGAAGCGUGAGUGACGGUAAUGAGUAAAGAAGCACCGGCUAACUACGUG